rnacentral:rRNA from 1 species
GACGAACGCUGGCGGCGUGCUUAACACAUGCAAGUCGAACGGAAAGGCCCUGCUUUUGUGGGGUGCUCGAGUGGCGAACGGGUGAGUAACACGUGAGUAACCUGCCCUUGACUUUGGGAUAACUUCAGGAAACUGGGGCUAAUACCGGAUAGGAGCUCCUGCUGCAUGGUGGGGGUUGGAAAGUUUCGGCGGUUGGGGAUGGACUCGCGGCUUAUCAGCUUGUUGGUGGGGUAGUGGCUUACCAAGGCUUUGACGGGUAGCCGGCCUGAGAGGGUGACCGGCCACAUUGGGACUGAGAUACGGCCCAGACUCCUACGGGAGGCAGCAGUGGGGAAUAUUGCACAAUGGGCGGAAGCCUGAUGCAGCAACGCCGCGUGCGGGAUGACGGCCUUCGGGUUGUAAACCGCUUUCGCCUGUGACGAAGCGUGAGUGACGGUAAUGGGGAAAGAAGCACCGGCUAACUACGU